UGCAGUCGAGGGGUAGAGGAGCUUGCUUCCUUGAGACCGGCGCACGGGUGCGUAACGCGUAUGCAAUCUACCUUGUACAGAGGGAUAGCCCAGAGAAAUUUGAAUUAAUACCUCAUAGUAUUAUUGAAUGGCAUCAUUUAAUAAUUAAAGUUCCAACGGUACAAGAUGAGCAUGCGUCCUAUUAGCUAGUUGGUGUGGUAACGGCAUACCAAGGCUACGAUAGGUAGGGGUCCUGAGAGGGAGAUCCCCCACACUGGUACUGAGACACGGACCAGACUCCUACGGGAGGCAGCAGUGAGGAAUAUUGGACAAUGGGCGCAAGCCUGAUCCAGCCAUGCCGCGUGCAGGAAGACGCAUCUAUGGUGUGUAAACUGCUUUUGUACGGGAAGAAACACUCCCUCGUGAGGGAGCUUGACGGUACCGUAAGAAUAAGGAUCGGCUAACUCCGUGUCAGCAGCCGCGGUAAUACGGAGGAUCCAAGCGUUAUCCGGAAUCAUUGGGUUUAAAGGGUCCGUAGGCGGUUUAAUAAGUCAGUGGUGAAAGCCCAUCGCUCAACGAUGGAACGGCCAUUGAUACUGUUAGACUUGAAUUACAAGGGAAGUAACUAGAAUAUGUAGUGUAGCGGUGAAAUGCUUAGAUAUUACAUGGAAUACCAAUUGCGAAGGCAGGUUACUACUUGUGGAUUGACGCUGAUGGACGAAAGCGUGGGGAGCGAACAGGAUUAGAUACCCUGGUAGUCCACGCCCGUAAACGAUGGAUACUAGCUGUUGGGGGGCAACUUCAGUGGCUAAGCGAAAGUGAUAAGUAUCCCACCUGGGGAGUACGUUCGCCAAGAAUGAAACUCAAAGGGAAUUGACGGGGGGCCCCGCACAAGCGGUGGGAGCAUGUGGUUUAAUUUCCGAAUGAUACGCGAGGGAACCUUUACCUUAG
rnacentral:rRNA from 1 species